rnacentral:RNase_MRP_RNA from 1 species
AAACACCUCAAAGAAUCGCGAACGAAGCGAAACAUACUAAAAGUGAGCUAAUUUUUGUAAAUUAGUUAGACUUUUUAAAGAUUAUCUUUUUUUUAUUUUAUAAAAGAAAGAUAGGUGCUUUGGGGAAAGUCCUCGGAUACUAAGGCAGAAAGUGUCGCCUUUAGUAUAGGGUCAUAUUAAAGUUCAAUAAUCCUGCGAAGAAUUUUAAUCUUUGAUUAAAAUUAUAGCUAUAUGGGUAGAUGAAUAUUUAAUAUUGAUCAUCAUAGCAAAGUUAUGCGAUUGUAUCAAAUCAUUAUUUAUUAUAGGAGAAAUUGUGAGACUCGUAUAUACUGUAUACUUGUCUCUGUUCGAAUAUAAUACUGAUAUAACACAACGAGGCUUACUCUUGAGAUGUU